rnacentral:rRNA from 1 species
GACGAAGGAUGCAAGCGUUAUCCGGAUUCAUUGGGUUUAAAAGGGGAGCGUAGGUGGACUGAUAAGUCAGUGGUGAAAUCUUUGGGCUUAACCCAAAAAUUGCCAUUGAUACUGUUGGUCUUGAGUAUAGUUGCCGUUGGCGGAAUAUGACAUGUAGUGGUGAAAUACAUAGAGAUGUCAUAGAACACCGAUUGCGAAGGCAGCUGACGAAACUAUAACUGACACUGAGGCUCGAAAGUGUGGGGAUCAAACAGG